rnacentral:rRNA from 1 species
AUGAACGCUGGCGGCGCGCCUAAUACAUGCAAGUCGAGCGAACAGACGAGGAGCUUGCUCCUCUGACGUUAGCGGCGGACGGGUGAGUAACACGUGGAUAACCUACCUAUAAGACUGGGAUAACUUCGGGAAACCGGAGCUAAUACCGGAUAAUAUAUUGAACCGCAUGGUUCAAUAGUGAAAGACGGUUUUGCUGUCACUUAUAGAUGGAUCCGCGCCGCAUUAGCUAGUUGGUAAGGUAACGGCUUACCAAGGCAACGAUGCGUAGCCGACCUGAGAGGGUGAUCGGCCACACUGGAACUGAGACACGGUCCAGACUCCUACGGGAGGCAGCAGUAGGGAAUCUUCCGCAAUGGGCGAAAGCCUGACGGAGCAACGCCGCGUGAGUGAUGAAGGUCUUCGGAUCGUAAAACUCUGUUAUUAGGGAAGAACAAAUGUGUAAGUAACUAUGCACGUCUUGACGGUACCUAAUCAGAAAGCCACGGCUAACUACGUG